AUUGAACGCUGGCGGCAGGCCUAACACAUGCAAGUCGAACGAGUGGCGGACGGGUGAGUAAUGUCUGGGAAACUGCCUGAUGGAGGGGGAUAACUACUGGAAACGGUAGCUAAUACCGCAUACCAUCAGAUGUGCCCAGAUGGGAUUAGCUUGUUGGUGGGGUAACGGCUCACCAAGGCGACGAUCCCUAGCUGGUCUGAGAGGAUGACCAGCCACCCGAGAACUGAUCCACGGUCCAGGCUCCUGCGGUAGGCAGCAGUGGGAAAUAUUGCACAAUUGGCGCAAGCCUGAUGCAGCCAUGGCGCGUGUAUGAAGGAGGCCUUCGGGUUGGAAAGUACUUUCAGCGGGGGGGCGUUACCCGCAGAAGAAGCACCGGCUAACUUCGUGCCAGCAGCCGCGGUAAUUC
rnacentral:rRNA from 1 species